rfam:Camelus ferus unplaced genomic scaffold scaffold978, whole genome shotgun sequence.
GAGGGUAUAGCUCAGUGGUAGAGUAAAUGCCUAGCAUGCAUGAGGUCCUGGGUUCAAUCCCCAGUACCUCCA